GUCCCCGUCGAUUAGUGGUUAGAUCAUCACGUUGUGGCAGUUCCCAUGCAUUCCGUGAAGACGCAGGCUCGACUCCUGCCAGGGACA
rnacentral:tRNA from 1 species